rnacentral:rRNA from 1 species
GAUGAACGCUGGCGGCGUGCCUAAUACAUGCAAGUCGAGCGAACAGACGAGGCGCUUGCUCCUCUGACGUUAGCGGCGGACGGGUGAGUAACACGUGGAUAACCUACCUAUAAGACUGGGAUAACUUCGGGAAACCGGAGCUAAUACCGGAUAAUAUCUUGAACCGCAUGGUUCAAUAGUGAAAGACGGUUUUGCUGUCACUUAUAGAUGCAUCCGGGCCGCAUUAGCUAGUUGGUAGGGUAACGGCUUACCAAGGCAACGAUGCGUAGCCGACCUGUGAGAGUGAUCGGCGACACUGGAGCUGAGACACGGUCAAGACGCCUACGGGAGGCAGCAGUAGGGAAUCUUCCGCAAUGGGCGAAAGCCUGACGGAGCAACGCCGCGUGAGUGAUGAAGGUCUUCGGAUCGUAAAGCUCUGUUAUUAGGGAAGAACAAAUGUGUAAGUAACUAUGCACGUCUUGACGGUACCUAAUCAGAAAGCCACGGCUAACUACGUG